UACGGAGGGGACUAGCGUUGUUCGGAAUUACUGGGCGUAAAGCGUGCGCAGGCGGUUUUGUAAGUCUGUCGUGAAAGCCCCGGGCUCAACCUGGGAAUUGCGAUGGAGACUGCAAGGCUUGAAUCUGGCAGAGGGGGAUAGAAUUCCACGUGUAGCAGUGAAAUGCGUAGAGAUGUGGAGGAACACCGAUGGCGAAGGCAGCCCCCUGGGUCAAGAUUGACGCUCAUGCACGAAAGCGUGGAGAGCAAACAGG
rnacentral:rRNA from 1 species